CGCACAUUGCGCCCUCUGGUAUUCCGGGGGGCACGCCUGUUCGAGCGUCAUUGAAUCAAUCAAGCCCGGCUUGGUAUUGGGUGCCUCCGCCGGAGGGCCCGAAAUGCAGCGGCUCGGUCGUCCGGGGAAGAACGCACUGGAAAACGAAGCACAAGUGCGUCGUCGUUCUUGCCUCUCGGGCGGCCGUCGCCAUUAAAUCCCAGCAAUUGCUGGGCUCACUGAAUUGACCUCGGAUCAGGUGGGAAUACCCGCUGAACUUAA
rnacentral:misc_RNA from 1 species